AGAACGAACGCUGGCGGCAGGCUUAACACAUGCAAGUCGAACGCGUGUAGCAAUACACGAGUGGCGCACGGGUGAGUAACGCGUGGAUAUCUGCCUUUUGGUUCGGAAUAACCCCGGGAAACUGGGGCUAAAUACCGGAUGGUUCCUACGGGAUAAAGAUUUAUCGCCAAAAGAUGAGUCCGCGUACGAUUAGCUAGUUGGUGAGGUAAUGGCUCACCAAGGCGACGAUCGUUAGCUGGUCUGAGAGGACGAUCAGCCACACUGGGACUGAGACACGGCCCAGACUCCUACGGGAGGCAGCAGUGGGGAAUAUUGGACAAUGGGGGCAACCCUGAUCCAGCCAUGCCGCGUGAGUGAUGAAGGCCUUCGGGUUGUAAAGCUCGUUUUGGCGGGGACGAUGAUGACGGUACCCGCAGAAUAAGCCCCGGCUAACUUCGCGCCAGCACCGC
rnacentral:rRNA from 1 species